rnacentral:rRNA from 1 species
GAUGAACGCUGGCGGCGUGCCUAAUACAUGCAAGUCGAGCGAACAGAUGAGGAGCUUGCUCCUCUGCCGUUAGCGGCGGACGGGUGAGUAACACGUGGAUAACCUACCUAUAAGACUGGGAUCACUUCGGGAAACCGGAGCUAAUACCGGAUAAUAUAUUGAACCGCAUGGUUCAAUAGUGAACGACGGUUUUGCUGUCACUUAUAGAUGGAUCCGCGCCGCAUUAGCUAGUUGGUAAGGUAACGGCUUACCAAGGCAACGAUGCGUAGCCGACCUGAGAGGGUGAUCGGCCACACUGGAACUGAGACACGGUCCAGACUCCUACGGGAGGCAGCAGUAGGGAAUCUUCCGCAAUGGGCGAAAGCUUGACGGAGCAACGCCGCGUGAGUGAUGAAGGUCUUCGGAUCGUAAAACUCUGUUAUUAGGGAAGAACAAAUGUGUAAGUAACUAUGCACGUCUUGACGGUACCUAAUCAGAAAGCCACGGCUAACUACGUG